rnacentral:tRNA from 1 species
GGGAAUAUAGUUCAGUGGUACAGUGUCUGCCUGGCAAGCGGGAAUCCCUGAGUUCAAUUCUCAGUACCA